UGAUAUGCUUACAUGGACUUCUGUGCUCUUUGAUUUGGGGUUUUUAGGAUUUAUAUCAAACGGUUGGGAUUUUCUUUUGUGGCUGUAAAGUAGAUCAUCUAAAAGAUUAUAUCCAUCCAAGCACAACAUUUUCAUUCUUGGUUUUGCAAAGUUAUCAUUUAACAGAGAAAUUACUCAUCUCUGUGGUUGACUCUUUUUAGGUGUGGCUGGCACACCAUUUGGUCAUGUGUUAAAGUGAGUGUGGGUGGAAAGUUGUUGCUGAGAGUCAGGCUUCCUCUUCACUCCAGUAGUUUGAAGGUUUCAUUUGCCCUGAAAUAGAAAGACAGACAUGACUGGAGUUAAGGGAAGGAUAAUGUAUAGUGAAUGGGUGGUUAUGUAUUUGAGAAUACCAACAGGGCGAGCAGGACAUGAAAGGGUCUUGGUUUACCCUGGACUACAUUUUGCUGCUUAUUACUUAACUAUCAACUCAAGCUGCAAACAAGCUGACACAAAAUAGUGAUUUAUUUCAUUCAUUGAAAACAAUAAUUCAUACAGAUGAUUAUUCAUAUGUGCCUGUGAUGACAGCAUAUGCCCCUCUUCAACAGGCUUCAACAUGCCGGCUGUAUGGAAGUAUUUUGAAGGGUCAGGAACUGACAGCAGACACAUUUCUGAAUGUCUGGAUAAGAAAGAAAAAGAAAAAAACAUCACUGAUCAAAUGUCAUUGGUCUUUUUUUUGUCUGUUUUGUCCGUCUGUUUCUCGAUAGUAGAACAGGAGCAACUUUGUUUUCCUGAGAAAAAAGGUGUGCUAUUAUUAUUAUCAACUUCAGUAAUUGCUACAGUAUCAGCAAAAGUACUUACUUUCACUUAUGAGAAAAGUUGUUUCAAGGUCAACAGCUGAGUUUAUGAUCUUUUUUCUUAAUAGUUAAAAGUGCUGCCCUGUCUCUAUCCAAAACAACCAUGCUCAGUUUCAGCCUGUAUUUGUGUUUGAAAUCGACCCUCGAAUACAGUCCUGUCAUCUUCUGAUGAAACUCCGUAAACCUCUCCAGGGUCCCGGCCCUGACUAAUCCUCUUGUCACUGUAUCAGGUCUCUGUGGGUGAACAAAGACCCAUGGGUGCUCAGUUUCAGUGGUUUAGAGAAAGUGAGACAGAGUGCAUGUAAAGGUGGUUAUCUAUCUGACAGGGCAACCUCAGGGUAUUUAGACCGUAUCAGAUGACAGAGUGAUUUUUUUUCCCUCUUUGUUUUGUUCUUUCAGGAAACUCCUGUACACACUUCAGGGACUGUGUUGACCGAUGGAUGAGGAUGAAAUCAUGUGAAGGUGUGCCACUUUGGCAGUCGGAUGGACUUGUAGUCAGGCAACAUCUCACCUCAAUGGACUGGGGGCCUUGUCUGCACACGGUUGACUUCCUGCCAUCAACCUGAGGGGAGUAUCUACAGUGUCAUAGCAGGCGCUGGACCUGAACCAGGAAAGAAAACCAGGUUCUUGUGACUCAAAUAUUGCAGGUAAGAUAACUUUUUUUCCGUCGGGCCCUCUGUUUGCUUUUCUGCGUCUGUGAGUGAACUAUGUAGACAUGAGAUCAUGCUUAGCCGUGACUGUGCUCUCCUCAGUGUGGGGUGGUUUACACACCAGCUCACUUCAUGUCUGAAUGGGGACUAUUCACCUCUGAAAUGCUGAAGAGCAAAUACCCAGCAUGAUGUCAUCUUGGCUAACACUGUUGGUUUUUCUUGUGUGUGUUUGUGUAAGUUUAAGCUUUGCAGAAGAAUAAAGAAAAGAGGAACAUUUACGGAAAAUGUUCAGGUUUUAUGGUGUCUUUGUAGAUCAACAGACGACGGUUCUGGUUGUGUAUUUCCUGUUUCAUCAGACUUGUGUUUGUGUAUCUAUAAGGGUCUGUCACAUCUAUGAUUUAUUUAUUUUCUAUUUUUGGACACAGUCACUGGAUAACAAUUCGUAGCUCACGAUGUAGAGUGGGAGGAAGUGAGAGUCAGACUUGUUGCAUUAAUAGAAACCCCUCUGUUCAUGAGGCACAAACAGACCCACGCACAGGAUGCAGUUCAGCCAGACUCCCAAACAGGUGUCUGAAAGCUUCAGUACACAGAGAAAUACUUUUACACUUGCUGUUUUAGAGCUGAAAGGAAGUGAGAGUAAGAGGCAAAGACUGUGCUUAUAACACCUUUACCUGUGAACUCAGCCACUGAGCCAACAUGACCCACUGUGAGUGCACAAAUAACUUGAUUUAAAACACCAUGCUAUAUCCAGAAGCUGCAGUAGUUUACUUUAGUUGUAAAUGGCAGAUCAUCAGUGUUACAGUUGUGCCCAGUCUGAAUGUGUUUUGACAUCAGCAGGGUUAAGGACACAUGGAGUGACUGUGAUUGUUAUAGAUGCUUAUUUUACAGCACUGUUGAGGUCAGGUCACACCUCCUUCUUUGCUUGCUGUACUGUCUGAAUGAAUGACUUUCAGUGUCAUGAUGAAAUAUUCGACCAUAAUGCUCAGCUUAGGGGUGGAUGUGCACUCAAUUCAAGCUACUGUGAGGAGCUGGAAUUAACAUUGGUGCCUCUACAUGAUCUGUAAAGCAAAUGAGACUAUCAAGGACAAAAUCUCUGCCUCUGGACUGAAGUUUUAAUGCCUGUUGUCACUGCCUGAGGGCAGGAGUCAAGCAAGAUCACUGAUGGCAUUUAGGACCAAAAAACCCCUCCUCAUACAUUUUCAACAGCAAAUAUUCACACUGAGUGUUUGAUUCAACUAUUACAGACAGGGAGGAAACAGUUUAUGACAAAACAUGACAGAGUUAAAUCAGUCUGGAGAGAGGAGGAAGAGCUUUAUGGACACAAACUGAAAGUUCCUCAUAGGAGCUUUAAUAAUUUCUCCUUGAUUAUAGAAAAGGUAACCGACGUGUAUUUCAGCUUCAUACCCCUGCUACUUCCAUUCAACUGUAUUUCAUGUUAAAUAUUUUAAUUUUACACCACUUCUUUAAUUUAACAGCAGAAUAUUAUGCACGUUAAAUAUGCUAAAAACAAGACCAUCUUGCUAUAUCUAAAUCAAAGCAGCCAUCAACACACCAUCUGCAUUUCUUCCCACAGAGUAAUUACUCUAAAAACAGUUGAAUAAAAUAAUAGUGUUGCAAUUUGUGUAGUGCUUCGUUGCAAUUUUCUCAGGAGUUUGUAAUAAAAGAUUUUGUAAAUAAAUUAUGUUUUACGUGAUGAGUGCCUUGAUGAAGAGAAAGUCUAAAAUUAGUGUCAAAUAUGAAAUGUGUGUUUGUAUUCACUCGUUGGAAGCAGCAAAAGUUUCUCCUGAUUUGUAUAAAGUGAUAUAUAGACACGAUGACUCAUGAAGUAUUUGAGCAAUGCGAUCAUUUAGAGAGACAUCAUCAUUUUGUGUUAUAAACUUAACAGCUUCACUCAAUGACUGAUUAUUUUACCCUGAUUAUUUCAAUCGAUGGGAGUUUACAUGGCAUUAAACAUGCAAGAAAUACCAUGUCUAUAGUAUACCGGGAGUUGUAACACACAAGAGCAAACAUUUCUGAGAAGAGAUGAAAUUUUACUGUGCUGUGAUUCCUUGUGGGACACUCAGAGACAGAAAGUUUUAGACAGUGAGUGCAGAAAUCUUAAUCGCAGAAACAUUUCCUAUGUUGUGUUUGUAGAGUUGACUUUUAAUCACUGAAAGGAGUGAGAAUGAGGGGAGGCUGUUGCUUCAAAUUUUAAUGUGUGAGAUCAAGAAAGUGAGAUCUCCAAGGUUAACUUAUCAGCCCUUCAUACUGAUGAUAUCUGCCCACGAUUAAGUUCCAAGAAAUCACAGCAACUGGAAAAACAUUUAAGAGAAAUUGAUGUUUCUACAGCUGCUCUGGCCUGAAGUUAAAAAUGUAGGUUGAGUCCCUGCAUUUGCCAAAGAUCCCACAUAGGGCGUGUCCUGCAAGGCCCUCAAAAUGAAAAUUUUAGCAAAAAACUCUGGUAGUGUGCUCGUUCUUCAGAAUUUAGACUAAAAAAACUGAUAAUAGGAGAGAAAGGUAGACAGAAAGUAUGAGGAUGGAGAGAAAGGAGCUAAAAGGGAGUGAGGUUGCGGAAGUGAAGCUCCCAGAAUAGCAGCAGUGAGUGUGCUUUUUGUGGAGAGUGUCUCUGAAUGCUUGGAGGGCCGCAGGGGCCCAGACUGACAGAGGAGAACUCAGAGGAAAGAGAGCCUCUGGGAGUCAAAGUGUGUGUGUGUGUGUGAGAGAGAGAGAGAGAGAGAGAGGACAGUGUUAUUUUAACCCUGAACUUACAUCCGGCUGUCACUCUGAACCCCCCUGCUGCUCCAGUCUGCUGUCUCCUCGGUCAGUCUACCUGCAGAUCAGCUGUCUUUUUCACUCCUCCACCAGCUCUCUGCUCUCACCUGUACCUGCUUUUUUUCACUGAUAAUCCUCUCUCUUUUUUCUCUUCCUCACACAGAUACACAGGUAUCUCGUUACCGGCCCCCCUGAGGGCUGGCAUGCUGUCUGCUGCUUCCGGGUGUAUUGUAUGUUGGCCGUGUUGUAAAUGCCUCAGGUUUCCUGAUUAAGUGACCCUGUAAUAGAUCACCUAGUGACACAGCCACGGCCUAGAAAACUGAAACUCCCCAACGUUUCUAACUCAAGCUCUACUUAAAAAAAUAAGUGUUUUUAAGAGCUGCAUGAUGAAUCAUAAUUUUCAUCCUCAUGGCAAUAUAUGAGCAUUCAUUAUACACACAAAUAUAUCUCAAUGAAAAGAAAUACAUGUCAACUUUGCAUUUUACCUCUUGAAUGGAGGCCUGUGUAUGGGUAAGUGCUGCCACUUCUUUUUGAAACAUUUAGGUGAAGCUAUUUGUGACCCUUGGGUUAUUUUGGGCUCUUUUAAUGAUUAAAAAAAUACUUUUGGAUUUUUAGAUCAUGUGUAAAAUAUUUGACUAACAAUUGUGCUUUAUGCCAGUAUUUUAACACUGAACUCUGUAACUUUUUGGCAUUAGUUUGUCCUUAAUAAAAAUAAACUUAUAAAGUGGCCCCUCAGUCAUUCUUGGAAAUGAGCAGCCAUGUUGAUCAUCUCCUAAACCAUCAAAUCCCGCCCCAGCUUCACACCUUUGACUUAAGAGCUAUGGACAAAAAAGCCACAUAGACUGUAAUAUAAUGCUAAAAGUCUGUAUUAUAUCCAUAAAAAAACAUCCUCCAUGCUGACCUGAUAUGACCUUUUCAUUUUGCUGCUCCUGUGAAAUAAAAGCUAACAUUAACAGGAACAGAUCAUCAAGGAAUACAUGUUUCCCCAUAACC